CACAGAACCUUUCGUGGACGGAUCCGGCACCUUUCGUGGAAGCUUUCGCCCGCUUCUUAGAACCGACUGACCCGUGCUCGACCGCCGUU